GAUGAACGCUGGCGGCGUGCCUAAUACAUGCAAGUCGAGCGAACGGACGAGAAGCUUGCUUUUCUGAUGUUAGCGGCGGACGGGGGAGUAACACGUGGAUAACCUCCCUAUAAGACUGGGAUAACUUCGGGAAACCGGAGCUAAUACCGGAUAAUAUUUUGAACCGAAUGGUUCAAAAGGGAAAGACGGUCUUGCUGUCACUUAUAGAUGGAUCCGCGCUGCAUUAGCUAGUUGGUAAGGUAACGGCUUACCAAGGCAACGAUGCAUAGCCGACCUGAGAGGGUGAUCGGCCACACUGGAACUGAGACACGGUCCAGACUCCUACGGGAGGCAGCAGUAGGGAAUCUUCCGCAAUGGGCGAAAGCCUGACGGAGCAACGCCGCGUGAGUGAUGAAGGUCUUCGGAUCGUAAAACUCUGUUAUUAGGGAAGAACAUAUGUGUAAGUAACUGUGCACAUCUUGACGGUACCUAAUCAGAAAGCCACGGCUAACUACGUG
rnacentral:rRNA from 1 species